GGGAUUGUGGCUCAGUGGCAGAGCCUUUGCCUUACAAAUAUGAGACCCUGGGUUCAAUCCUCAGCACCA
rnacentral:tRNA from 1 species